CCGGCACAACUCACCGCCUCUGGAAACUACCUAGAAACUUUUAAUCUAACCGUUGUCAAAUCUAAAAUGAAGACAGAUUCAGCAACUGCAUGGCUUAUCUCUUGCACAAAAUGUUUUCAGAAACACAUUUCGCUGUUAAAAGAAAUAAAGUGCAAGUUCCGCUCAAGGAGAACUCUUG